ACGGGUGAGUAACGUGUGGGCAACCUGCCCUGUACUGUGGAAUAAUCACUGGAAACGGUGACUAAUACCGCAUGUCAUUGCGAGAGGGCAUCCUCUUGCAAGAAAAGGAUUUAUUCGGUACAGGAUGGGCCCGCAUCUGAUUAGCUAGUUGGUGAGAUAACAGCCCACCAAGGCAACGAUCAGUAGCCGACCUGAGAGGGUGAUCGGCCACAUUGGGACUGAGACACGGCCCAAACUCCUACGGGAGGCAGCAGUGGGGAAUAUUGCACAAUGGGCGAAAGCCUGAUGCAGCAACGCCGCGUGAAGGAAGAAGGGUUUCGGCUCGUAAACUUCUAUCAACAGGGACGAAAAAAAUGACGGUACCUGAAUAAGAAGCCCCGGCUAACUACGUGCCAGCAGCCGCGGUAAUACGUAGGGGGCAAGCGUUAUCCGGAAUUACUGGGUGUAAAGGGAGAGUAGGCGGCAUGGUAAGUUAGAUGUGAAAGCCCGAGGCUUAACCUCGGGAUUGCAUUUAAAACUAUCAAGCUAGAGUACAGGAGAGGUAAGUGGAAUUCCUAGUGUAGCGGUGAAAUGCGUAGAUAUUAGGAAGAACACCAGUGGCGAAGGCGACUUACUGGACUGAAACUGACGCUGAGGCUCGAAAGCGUGGGGAGCGAACAGGAUUAGAUACCCUGGUAGUCCACGCCGUAAACGAUGAGUGCUAGGUGUCGGGGGGGGAACCCUCGGUGCCGCAGCUAACGCAAUAAGCACUCCACCUGGGGAGUACGAUCGCAAGAUUGAAACUCAAAGGAAUUGACGG
rnacentral:rRNA from 1 species